rnacentral:rRNA from 1 species
UGCGCUUCCCCUUUGGGGGACUUUGGGAGGGAUCAUU